UAGCGCUGAGAGACAGACAGAGAGCGAUGACGAACCUUCUCGCCGGCGUUAAUAACACUUGACGACCAUGUUUUCAUCAUUGUGGUGGCGGCGAACAUGGUUUUUACCGGAGAGUGACGAGGUAUGUUCGAUCAGUUGCUGCCACAGCUCUGACAAUGACGGCGGUCAAGCGGUUAGGGUUUCGAUCAACUUCCGUGUGACGUUGAUGAUGUUGUGACGGUGUGGCUGUUAGGGUUUGUUUGCCCUAAUAAGUCGUUCCCGAACCCUAGCUGGAGAUAAGAACUGAUGGUGGACCAAUGAAGAUUGAUAAGGUUUAGUUGGUAAGAGUGGGUCGAAAUGGAAGUUAUGAAGGAGUUCUUCGGUGGAAAUUGAUUCGGGUUGGAAAGGGUUUAAAGGGAAGUACAGGGGAGUGGGAUCGGAUGG